CAGUAAGGAAUAUUGGUCAAUGGACGCAAGUCUGAACCAGCCAUGCCGCGUGGAGGAUUAAGGCCCUCUGGGUUGUAAACUCCUUUUAUCUGGGAAGAAAUGCAUUUUUUCUAAAGUGCUUGACGGUACCAGAGGAAUAAGCACCGGCUAACUCCGUGCCAGCAGCCGCGGUAAUACGGAGGGUGCAAGCGUUAUCCGGAUUCACUGGGUUUAAAGGGUGCGUAGGCGGGCAGGUAAGUCCGUGGUGAAAUCUCUGAGCUUAACUCAGAAACUGCCAUGGAUACUAUUUGUCUUGAAUAUUGUGGAGGUAAGCGGAAUAUGUCAUGUAGCGGUGAAAUGCUUAGAUAUGACAUAGAACACCAAUUGCGAAGGCAGCUUACUACACAGUUAUUGACGCUGAGGCACGAAAGCGUGGGGAUCAAACAGGAUUAGAUACCCUGGUAGUCCACGCCCUAAACGAUGAUUACUCGACAUCAGCGAUACACUGUUGGUGUCUGAGGGAAACCAUUAAGUAAUCCACCUGGGAAGUACGAUCGCAAGAUUGAAACUCAAAGGAAUUGACGG
rnacentral:rRNA from 1 species